rnacentral:rRNA from 1 species
UACGGAGGGUGCAAGCAUUAAUCGGAUUUAUUGGGCGUACAGGGCGCGUAGGUGGGAAUAGAAGUCAGUAUGUGAAAUCCCGGAGCUUAACUCCGGAACUGCAUGUGAAACUCUAUUUCUUGAGGCUAGUCGGAGAAAGCGGAAUUCCACAAGUAGCGGUGAAAUGCGUAGAUAUGUGGAAGAACACCAGUGGCGAAGGCGGCUUUCUAGAUUAGACCUGACACUAAGGCGCGAAAGCGUGGGGAGCAAACAGG